CCUACGGGAGGCAGCAGUGGGGAAUAUUGGGCAAUGGAGGAAACUCUGACCCAGCAACGCCGCGUGAAUGAUGAAGGUCUUCGGAUUGUAAAGUUCUUUUCUAAGGGAAGAAAAUGACGGUACCUGACUAAGAAGCCCCGGCUAACUACGUGCCAGCAGCCGCGGUAAUACGUAGGGGGCAAGCGUUAUCCGGAUUUACUGGGUGUAAAGGGAGCGUAGACGGUUAUGCAAGUCUGAAGUGAAAGCCCAAGGCUCAACCAUGGGACUGCUUUGGAGACUGUAAAACUGGAGUGCAGGAGAGGUAAGCGGAAUUCCUAGUGUAGCGGUGAAAUGCGUAGAUAUUAGGAGGAACACCAGUGGCGAAGGCGGCUUACUGGACUGUAACUGACGUUGAGGCUCGAAGGCGUGGGGAGCAAACAGGAUUAGAUACCCGUGUAGUC
rnacentral:rRNA from 1 species